UGUCGAACAAUAAGGUUCGAGCCCGUGUUGUGCAGCCGAACAUCCCGGUACAGAACGGGGUCAUCCACGUUAUCGACGAUCUGCUUUUCUUUAUGUACAGAAACAUGCGACAAACAAUCGAGCAUCAGCAAAAUAUUAGUUUUAUACAAGGCGAUCUUCUCAGUCUGGACGCGGAAAUCGUGACCAAACUCACGGAUAAAACACGCAAGACGACGCUGUUCCUGCCAACAGACGACGCCUUUGCAAAGCUGCCCCCAAAAUAAGCAAUAUUCUAUAGACAAUAAUGGAACUCACGUUUCUCGGUUAUUCCGGGACCACCUUAUUAUGUAUGCAGAGCGGGACAUCGAUUCUUUCCAAGACGGGAAAACAUUCACGACCGCAGACGGCGCAAUAUUGACCGUGAAGAAGAUUCAAAGUGUCGUGUACGUGGAAGGCGGCGGAGUCCGCGCCAAGGUGACGACGCCGGAUAUCGGCUGCACCAACGGCGUCAUACAUCUCGUCAACAGUGUUCUCUUCCAGCGUGACUUCACCAUCUGGGAUGCAGUCAUUGGCAACAACCAGCUGAGCAAUAUGAAGCAAUUGAUUAGCAAGAACCAGGACCUAAUUGCGACCUUAGGCGCUACAAGAAACGGACCAAUGACGGUGUUCCUGAUAAGCGACGCUGCCUUGAAUAAUCUCCCCAGCGACACGUUCGAACAAUUUACGUCAAACUACAAUUUGAUACUCGAAGUAAGUACGCAUAGAUGUUGUAUUGUUUGGGUAUUGUAUUCCACUGGGCAAUAUUGCAAUCAGUUUUCUGGGUGAACAAGCGUAAUUUAAGGAUAAGGUAAAACUGUUCAUAAGUGAUGCAUUUCGCUUGCAUGUAUUUUUAACCGAUUGAAACAAUACAACAGUUUUCGAAAUAUAUACUUUUACUUCUGUUGUUUAGUUCAUUUGCUAUAAUAAAAAAUGGAGCACGCCUGUACAUUUCUGUACUGCAUAUUGUCACUUAUGAUGGGUUACAAUAGCAAACAUACAUUAAAGACGAUGCAUCAAUUUAAAUGAAAUGACCACUUAUUCAGCCACAGUGCAAUCAGUUUGUGUAUUGAAGAUAAAACAUGAGGCAUUAUAAUAAUGUUUAUCUUUUUGUAACCCAGCCAGAAUAAUCUCUACAAUGGGGUUUCAACCCGAGACCACCCCCCCCCCUGGUACUAAAUCAGGCAGACACUACCGCAUCGCUUUAAAGCUAGCUCAUAUAGCAGGGCAGUUUAAGUUCUCCUUAUUCCUGACCCUACUGCACACUCCCCCCUCCAUUUAAGAAACUCUUCCAAGAAUUUCCUACCGCCACGACAUCUGAGGGAGAUCUGACACACAUUGUUGGUUUUUACGUUGGGCACCAAUGUAAAUCAGCCAGAAAAAUCCUAACCACAAUCGGAAUUGAACCAGGGACAUCCCGGUUCUUAAUUUGGCAGACACUCUAUCACAUCUGUAUAAAAGCUUGAUUAUAUAGCAAGGCAGUAUACGCUCUCCUUAUACCUAAUCAUACUACAGUUUGACAUGUUUUUUCUCUGAUUUUGGCGCUGCAUGGAUCGAUUGCACAAGGGGUUAUCCUGAGCUUCACCCUAAUAACGGGCGAGAUUGAUGUCUCUACGUUAGCGAGCAUAACUAUCACACUGCAUCAUACCGAGACAGGUUUGUACAUAGUCCGAAGUCGGAUUCGCGCUGAUGUAGUGAUCGAGGACAUCUUGUGUUCUAACGGCGUCUUACAUAUCACCGACAAACUACUACACCUUCCGACCAGGAACAUUGUGGACGAAAUGGCGGUGCAACCUGGCCUUGGGGUUAUGACUGGAAUUCUCGAUGUCAUUCCGUCUCUGAAACAAAUUCUGAAGGACACGAGUAAAACAUUCACCAUGUUCGUGCCCAGUGACGACGCGUUCACACUGCUACCCGCCCAUCGGGCUCAAAAGCUGCAAGACCCCUUCUUACUGCAACAUAGAGUUCGCUUACAUGUUUUUUUCGGCUCUUCAUUAUUCCUGGAGCAGUUCCGUGAUUACUCGAAAUUUUCAUCUUUGACAGGCGAUCCGCUCUUUGUUCUACGUGAACAGGAGAAAGUUUUCGCGGUCAGUAGCAAUGUUCGUGGCGGCGUCAUCAGGUCCGACAUCCGGUGCAGUAACGGGAUCAUCCACGUGCUUGACACGCUGCUGCAGUUCCCCUUCUGGAAAACCAACAACCUCUUGAACGCCAUUUCAAGUUUAAAGUGCCUUUUCACGACAUGAUAAUGAAUGAAUGUCGAUGACCUCAACACGUGGUCCAACUCGCACGACACGAAUCUCACUCUGCUGAUUCCCAGUGCAAAAUUUAUAGCAAGUCUCUCAAACUUCCAUAGAAGUUACAUAAGCGCGGAACCAGAUAUGGAUAUAAAGUUAUUCAACAGCCACGCACUGCCAUCUAUCACGUUAAAUCAAGCGUACAUGGACGCUAUGUUUAGUGGCAGUCGAGUGUUCUACACAGAGAAUCGCUACAAUACGACCUCCACCUUUGUAAAUGUGGACCCUACCAAUAGAACGGAAGUUACUUCGGUUGAUAUCGGGUUCACGAAUCUCAGACGGUCUUUCGACCUGGUGCGUGACGGGAUCGCGUGCAGUAACGGCAUUAUCUACGUCAUCGACGGCUUCCUGAACUUCCCGCUGAAUGACGCUCACUUUGAGUUGACACAUCAACCGGAUAUAAGUCUUGGAAGCGAUCAGCUUCUGAAGCUCGUACCGAGCGACUCCGGUAUCGAUCUGACGUACUUGAAGACCAUGUACACGGUGUUCGUUCCCUCGGACUCCUCGCUGGACCCCCAGUAGGCCGGAACUGGAGAACAUAAACGCGAACCUCACUAAGGAGGCGAAGAUGGCUAUCGUUCGCCGCCAUAUCGUCCCCAACCAAAAGGUGGAUUCCGACAGCAUCAUCGACGGCUCCUUCAGCGCUUACGCAAGCAGCAGAAAUAUCACAGUGAUAGCUAGAACUGACGGCUUUUAUCUCCGAUGGGAGGACAUCGAAGCCAAGAUCGUCAAACCAAACAUUUUAGCCAUAAACGCAAUAAUUCACGUGGUGGAUCGUUUCCUCAUGACGUCACCGUACCAGACCACCACACUUCCGCCACCGACGUCGACGACUACUCAAAAACAUAUAUCAUCCGGUCAUACUUUCCACGACUCAGUUCACGCCAAUUUUACCUCAUUAAAUAAUCAGUGCGCGUAUUUCAUUUGUCUCGUGUGUUUACAAGUUGUCGCAUAUUUGAAUGUAUGUAGAUGAUGGCGGUGAAAAACGUUAUGAUUGUUUUCGUUUUUUUCUUUGAAAUACGUUGUGUUAUAUGAUGUAUAACUGAGUAUGUAAGAUACUUUAAACUGUUCACGCGCCCUUUAUUUCAAUAAACGAUUGAUUGUU